CAAAACGACUCUCGGCAACGGAUAUCUCGGCUCUUGCAUCGAUGAAGAACGUAGCGAAAUGCGAUACGUGGUGUGAAUUGCAGAAUCCCGUGAACCAUCGAGUUUUUGAACGCAAGUUGCGCCCAAGGCCUUUUGGUUGAGGGCACGUCUGCCUGGG
rnacentral:rRNA from 4 species